CAUAGUUUAGAGAUGAUGGACUGAAGGAAAUAGAGGAAGAGGAAUUGAGAGCAUCAUCAGAGAUUAUAAAAACUACUGUUUACUAUUCAUUUGAUAUUUA